rnacentral:misc_RNA from 1 species
CUGAGUUAGGGUCUUUAUGGCCCGACCUCCAACCCUUUGUUUAUUAUACCAUGUUGCUUUGGCGGGCCUGUCUUUCGAGGCUGCCGGGGGCACUACUGCCCCUGACUCGUGCCUGCCAGGAGCCUUCCUUAAAUUCUGUGUUAAACUUUGCUGUCUGAGUCCCAAUAUUAAAUUAUA